rnacentral:rRNA from 1 species
UACGUAGGGUCCAAGCGUUAAUCGGAAUUACUGGGCGUAAAGCGCGCGUAGGCGGCCCGGUAAGUCCGUUGUGAAAGUCAAAGGCUCAACCUUUGAACGCCGAUGGAUACUGCCGGGCUAGAGUCCGGAAGAGGCGAGUGGAAUUCCUGGUGUAGCGGUGGAAUGCGCAGAUAUCAGGAGGAACACCAAUAGCGAAGGCAGCUCGCUGGGACGGUACUGACGCUGAGGCGCGAAAGCGUGGGGAGCGAACAGG